rnacentral:rRNA from 1 species
CUGGUUGAUCCUGCCAGUAGUCAUACGCUCGUCUCAAAGAUUAAGCCAUGCAUGUGUAAGUAUAAAUAAUUCUACUUUGAAACUGCGAAUGGCUCAUUAUAUCAGUUAUAGUUUAUUAGAAAUAGUGUACUACUUGGAUAACCGUAGUAAUUCUAGGGCUAAUACAUGAGUAAAUCCUCGACUUUGGAAGAGGUGUGUUUAUUAGUAUGAAAACCAUAUGCUUUUGCAUGAUAGUGAGUAAUAAUAACCUUUCAUAUCGCCUGUUUUAAAUAGCGAUAGUUCUUUCAAGUUUCUGCCCUAUCAGCUUUCGAUGGUAGUGUAUUGGACUACCAUGGCAGUAACGGGUAACGAAGAAUUUGGGUUCGAUUUCGGAGAGGGAGCCUGAGAGAUGGCUACCACAUCCAAGGAAGGCAGCAGGCGCGUAAAUUACCCAAUCCUGACAUAGGGAGGUAGUGACAAUAAAUCACAAUGCGGGACUAUUUAGUUUUGCAAUUGGAUUGAGAACAAUGUACAAGAGUUAUCGAUAAACAAUUGGAGGGCAAGUCUGG